GGGGAAUUUUUCGCAAUGGGCGAAAGCCUGACGGAGCAACGCCGCGUGAGGGAUGAAGGCCUCUGGGCUGUAAACCUCUUUUAUCAAGGAAGAAGAUCUGACGGUAGUUGAUGAAUAAGCCACGGCUAAUUCCGUGCCAGCAGCCGCGGUAAUACGGGAGUGGCAAGCGUUAUCCGGAAUUAUUGGGCGUAAAGCGUCCGCAGGCGGUCUUGAAAGUCUGUCGUUAAAGCGUGGAGCUUAACUCCAUUUCGGCGGUGGAAACUACAAGACUAGAGUGUGGUAGGGGCAGAGGGAAUUGCCGGUGUAGCGGU
rnacentral:rRNA from 1 species